GCACUCGUAGUCUAACUGGAUAAAACUUCGGCCUCCGACGCCGAUGUUGUGAGUUCGAGCCUCGCCGGGUGCACCA
rnacentral:tRNA from 1 species